UAAUACAUGCAAGUCGAGCGGACAGAAGGGAGCUUGCUCCCGGAUGUUAGCGGCGGACGGGUGAGUAACACGUGGGUAACCUGCCUGUAAGACUGGGAUAACUCCGGGAAACCGGAGCUAAUACCGGAUAGUUCCUUGAACCGCAUGGUUCAAGGAUGAAAGACGGUUUCGGCUGUCACUUACAGAUGGACCCGCGGCGCAUUAGCUAGUUGGUGAGGUAACGGCUCACCAAGGCGACGAUGCGUAGCCGACCUGAGAGGGUGAUCGGCCACACUGGGACUGAGACACGGCCCAGACUCCUACGGGAGGCAGCAGUAGGGAAUCUUCCGCAAUGGACGAAAGUCUGACGGAGCAACGCCGCGUGAGUGAUGAAGGUUUUCGGAUCGUAAAGCUCUGUUGUUAGGGAAGAACAAGUGCAAGAGUAACUGCUUGCACCUUGACGGUACCUAACCAGAAAGCCACGGCUAACUACGUGCCAGCAGCCGCGGUAAUACGUAGGUGGCAAGCGUUGUCCGGAAUUAUUGGGCGUAAAGGGCUCGCAGGCGGUUUCUUAAGUCUGAUGUGAAAGCCCCCGGCUCAACCGGGGAGGGUCAUUGGAAACUGGGAAACUUGAGUGCAGAAGAGGAGAGUGGAAUUCCACGUGUAGCGGUGAAAUGCGUAGAGAUGUGGAGGAACACCAGUGGCGAAGGCGACUCUCUGGUCUGUAACUGACGCUGAGGAGCGAAAGCGUGGGGAGCGAACAGGAUUAGAUACCCUGGUAGUCCACGCCGUAAACGAUGAGUGCUAAGUGUUAGGGGGUUUCCGCCCCUUAGUGCUGCAGCUAACGCAUUAAGCACUCCGCCUGGGGAGUACGGUCGCAAGACUGAAACUCAAAGGAAUUGACGGGGGCCCGCACAAGCGGUGGAGCAUGUGGUUUAAUUGGAAGCAACGCGAAGAACCUUACCAGGUCUUGACAUCCUCUGACAACCCUAGAGAUAGGGCUUUCCCUUCGGGGACAGAGUGACAGGUGGUGCAUGGUUGUCGUCAGCUCGUGUCGUGAGAUGUUGGGUUAAGUCCCGCAACGAGCGCAACCCUUGAUCUUAGUUGCCAGCAUUUAGUUGGGCACUCUAAGGUGACUGCCGGUGACAAACCGGAGGAAGGUGGGGAUGACGUCAAAUCAUCAUGCCCCUUAUGACCUG
rnacentral:rRNA from 1 species